rnacentral:rRNA from 1 species
GAUGAACGCUGGCGGCGUGCCUAAUACAUGCAAGUCGAGCGAACAGAUGAGGAGCUUGCUCCUCUGACGUUAGCGGCGGACGGGUGAGUAACACGUGGAUAACCUACCUAUAAGACUGGGAUAACUUCGGGAAACCGGAGCUAAUACCGGAUAAUAUAUUGAACCGCAUGGUUCAAUAGUGAAAGACGGUUUUGCUGUCACUUAUAGAUGGAUCCGCGGCGCAUUAGCUAGUUGGUAAGGUAACGGCUUACCAAGGCAACGAUGCGUAGCCGACCUGAGAGGGUGAACGGCCACACUGGAACUGAGACACGGUCCAGACUCCUACGGGAGGCAGCAGUAGGGAAUCUUCCGCAAUGGGCGAAAGCCUGACGGAGCACCGCCGCGUGAGUGAUGAAGGUCUUCGGAUCGUAAAACUCUGUUAUUAGGGAAGAACAAAUGUGUAAGUAACUAUGCACGUCUUGACGGUACCUAAUCAGAAAGCCACGGCUAACUACGUG